GGAACCUUCUUCUAAGUUAAGUUAUCUGAAACGAAAGUGGAAAAGCAAAGACGUCAUACUGGAAAUCUUUAAAGGUUGGAAUUUUGAGGAUAAGGGAAUUGACUGAAGAAUCGAAGCAUUGAUCAGAUGCUUCCCAGAUUUAUUCUUUGCAAUCUUUUCUCCAAGCACUUCUGUGGGAAUUGAAUUGGCUUUGCCAUUCUGGGAUCUCCAUCCAACAUGGAUCUAGAGAAAGAGUUUGACCUGGUGGCACCAGGGCUUCUUCCAAAACAAACCAGGGAUCCAAGCAGGACCAAUAGGUGGUCAGCAUUGGGACAAAGAUCAAGACCUUCUAGCAACAUCUGGAGAAUGGCAAGGAAUCAAAACAUGUGGCAGUUGCUUCCCUUUAGCAUGAAUGACCCGAGAUGCAUUUCUUGGAAAUAUUCUUACAGCUGUGAUACAGAACGAAGUCAUGAUUAAGUUGAAGAAUACUUUUCCUUUUGGCUUCCACAUACGCAAUGGCUUGAAGGACCUGAGAUGACAUGUGAUGGGAAGGUGUCUGUGGACGGACCAACUUGAGAUAUGGAUCUCCACCGACUUUAUCUGGUAAAUUCUGAUCCCGGUUAAAAAAAUACCUUUUCCCCACCUGUCACCUUCCAAGCUGGACUCUUUGACCGAGAUAUUUCGGGAAUGGAAGCUGCAAGGCAACAAGUGUGAAGGUUUGUGGAGAAACUUCUGGGGAUGUCCAUCGUUGUGAAGUUCUCAAUACGGAGUGAAGUAGCUUCCACCCAAGGUGUUGGCAAUGUCACAAGUCUGUUGACUUCACGCCUCUCCUCCUGUGAUUCCUCCAUAGCUUUUUAAAAAAUCGUAACCCCGUAGAAAUAACGGCCAGUAGUUCCGUAUCCCAA